rnacentral:rRNA from 1 species
GAUGAACGCUAGCGGCAGGCCUAAUACAUGCAAGUCGAGGGGCAGCGGGUGUAGCAAUACAUGCCGGCGACCGGCGCACGGGUGCGUAACGCGUAUGCAACUUACCUCUAACAGGGGAAUAGCCCCGAGAAAUCGGGAUUAAUACCUCAUAAUAUUUAUCAUUCGCAUGUUUGAUAAAUUAAAGCUCCGGCGGUUAGUGAUGGGCAUGCGUGACAUUAGCUAGUUGGUGAGGUAACGGCUCACCAAGGCUGCGAUGUCUAGGGGUUCUGAGAGGACAUUCCCCCACACUGGUACUGAGACACGGACCAGACUCCUACGGGAGGCAGCAGUAAGGAAUAUUGGGCAAUGGACGCAAGUCUGACCCAGCCAUGCCGCGUGCAGGAUGAAGGCCCUAUGGGUUGUAAACUGCUUUUGUACGGGAAGAAACUUCCGCACGUGUGCGGAAUUGACGGUACCGUGCGAAUAAGCACCGGCUAACUCCGUGCCAGCAGCCGCCGUAAAAC